CAUAUAAGACAAUGAAUAUCUCGAAAAGAAGAUAAAUACCAUUGCUUCUGAUAAAAAUAGAUAUUAAUCAAGAAUUUAAUGUGAAAGAAGUCUUAGACUUGAGGCGGUGCCAACUUAGGUUGGAAUAUCUUAUUCAUUGGUGUAGAUAUGAUAUUAGCAAAUACAUAUGGAACUUAAUAAAAUAUCUUACAAAUACAACAAAGAAGGUCAAAGCUUUUCAUCAACAACAUCCAUCAAAAUUAAGAUGAAAGAAAGCAAAUCUUUACUAUAAAAGAAACACAAUUUAAAAAAGAUUGCAUUCUAUUUUCUAUCCUUGUUUGUAAUUUUUAUAUAAUUGUAUAAUAGUGUUAAAAAAAUAGAAAACAAAUAGCCAAAAAAUUCUACUCAAAAGCCAUUAUUUGCUGACUUAUUGGAUAA
rnacentral:lncRNA from 1 species